UUUGAGAUGUCCAGGUGAAAUUGCAGAUUAUAGAAAGAAGGCCAUUCCAAGUACUGAAAGCUAUAUUAAAACACAAAAGAGUAGAAGGAAAUUUCAAAGGCGAAACCAGAGAAACUAAAAGAACUUUUUGGAGAACCAAACAAGAGCAAGCAAAGGCGUGUAUAAAAACAGUUUAUUCAGCUCAGCCAACAGAUGCUUCUCGAAAAUUACAAGAACAAGACACUUAGGGAAUCAAUAUCUUAUCUAAAGGCCUGGUAUCCAUGUGUAGGAGUAGUUCUUUUGUAUACCAAUGAUUCAUAAUAAGAUAAAAGGGAAAAAGAAGAACACAAACGUAAGUAUAUAUCAUCUACCUUGAGUGAGCAGCAUGAAUCGAUUAAACAUGAGUGCAAUGUAUUCCCAUCAUCCAUCAUCAUUAUCGCAUUGCU
rnacentral:lncRNA from 1 species